UUCCCUUCUGGAUCAUGACAGGAAGUCUUGUCCCCCUAAGAAUGAACCCUGAACUUUCUCAAAGGGUAGAAUCCACUUCCUGUCCAUCUGUGCAUUUCUGAAGUGACUUUCUUCUUCCUAGAGUGGCUUCCUCUAUAGUUUGAUCAAUUCCAAUACAACUUCUUUAUUUUUUAUUUUUUAAUUUUUCUUUUUGUGUAGCCCAGGUGACUUCAAAUUCAUGGCAAUUACUCUGCUUUGGCCUCCCAAUAGCUGGGAUUACAGAACUGUGACACCACACCUGUAAUCACAAUUUCUGAUUUGAGUAGGAAAGGCAAAACAGUCAAUGAUAACUAGACCUCUAGAAUGAGUCAAAGGAGCCAUCUUGGAUCCUCUUGGUCACACCUUUCUCCAGCGGUCACUAGGGCAACUGAUACCACAACCCCUGCCAUUGCUGCCAUGUGCAGAGCUUACUAGUGUCCCAGCAUGCUUAGACUCCACAUGUGUGGACCUGGAGACAGUUGUAGAACUUUCCAGGCCUCAAGUACAUAUGAUAUGGAAGUGAACAGGAGUUUGUAAGACUCAUGGCAAAUUUGGGUUCAUGGGGAUGGAGGAUGGAGGCCAAUUUGGAGACGUAGCCUAUGAGACUUUUAAGAUGGUCCCUUCAGGCUCUAGCCCAGCUGACUAUUGUGGUGACCAACAGGGAGGGCUAUGACCUCACAAUGGCUUCCCUGUUCCAGUCCUUCAUCUGUUCUACUCUUAUCUUUGAGGCUCUUUUCAAAAUUAAACUAAGUGUAUGCCAGCCUUUGCCUCCAACUGCACUUGUGGCAAGGGGAUCCAGUCUUAUGGAUGACACAAAGGUAGCCUAUGCUUCGCCACCUAACAGCUGCAGCAUUUAAGUUCUGUUGCCGAAAUCUUCCGAAAGGAAGGAAGGGAAUAGGCUAUGAAAAGUUCGGAGAAGGGGUUGUCGGCUUCUCCCAGAAUGCCUAGCACAAGACCUUGACCCCAGAACAUGUCCCAUUACUAAAGAAUGAAAGAGGACAAAAGGUUCCAGAUUUCCUCCUGUGGAUUUCAAACAAUGGUACACUCACUGAAGAAAUCUUGUUCUAGUCACUGAACAGUUGUGCCAACACUCUCUGACCUUCACAUCAAAUGGAAUCUUAACUGAGGUCACACUGGCAAUAAGUGUUGGAAAUCGAAGCUUGAUGUCCUUGACCAAUGGUCAGCUACAAGCUGGGGAUUGUGUGCAAGAUAAUAACCUGGUUUGAGGAGACGCUCUGCACCCUCCUAGAGCUUGUAGAGUUGACAGUGGGACUGGAGGAUACAGAAAAGCCUGGUGACAAUGACAUUAUUUACUUAACAUCUGUGAAAGUUGGUCAGUCCUGGACAACUGACCUGAGACCUCAGGGUAUCCAUUUCUAUUUUUAAAAGAUCAUGACAUGGAAAGAUGUGAAAGCUUUAACAGUUCCACAAUUGUAACAGGCCUGCAUUUUGAGUUGCUGGAUGUCAGGAUAUAUUUUAGUUUUCUAAAGCUUAUCUGGCGAGAUGGUCAACGAACUGAAAGCUCAGAAUCAGCAGUCCAAGGGGGAUGCCACGGAGUGAAAGGAAGCAUGGGUGCGAAGGUUCAAGAGUGGCUUUUGGAACUGGACAGCCCAGAUCCAAUUGCCACAGCACCACUGGGUUGUGGAGUUUGGACAAGCUGCAAAGCGGAGACCGAGCUAUCUACAGAAGUGUGGGCGAGGGCGUAGCAGAGUUAACAGUCAAAUUACCACUUGCCUUGUCUUGGGGACUGGAUUUUGCAAGAAACAAAAAAAGAAGAAAAAUGGGCCUCAUCAGGAAGAGGUUUAAGUGACACAGGAACCCUGACUUAGAAGAACGGACUGAGUACCUCCAAGUAGGGAAAGCAAGGGGGAGAGGCAGGGUUGGAGUCUGAGUCUCUUCUUUUUUAAUGUUUCUUUUGGCUUCCCUCUCACUGUUAUCUUCCUCCCCUGCUCCUUCCGGAAGACCGGCCUUCUUGAUUCUCUCAUCCACUUGGUCUGCGCUCAUCAUAGCUUCUCCUGACGGCAGACCCAAGUGGGCAGGGGGGGCUGCAGGUAACCGACGCAGUGUGUGACCAUGCUCAGGAACAUCCUACGGGCCCAACCUUUAAUAGGUAUGGCCUCUUGGUCUAAUCCACUGAGGGGAGGAAGAUCUUCCCCAUUCAGUGUGAUACACCGACUAGCUGCAAGGGUCAGUGGCAGUGUGCCUUUGUGUACUCCCCUCUCUUCAAAAGAACACCGGGGACUUUAUUCUUGGUUUGCUGGUUAGCUCUUCUUUUUGUACCAGUGGUAACAUGAUAUCUGGCUGGAAAGAGAGUCCUAGAGGGAGACACACUAACAGAAUGUCGUUGGCAUGGAAAAGAGGAAUUUUUGAAAAAAAAUUAAGGAAAUUCAAACAAAGUUUAAGUAAGAAGCUGUCAAAAGGAGCACAUGGUAUAUACAUUAGCAAGCUUUAAGCCUUUGCCACAGCAUCAAACCUAUGCAUUUGAAGGCUAUGUUUCACCAUCUGCAUCCGUAAGAGGUCACAUUUAUUUACCCUAUUAGAAGGUAUAUUAAAAUACAUGCAAUUCAUCCGGUAACCAUUCACUGGUUCAGCAAACAUUUCCUGUGUGUUUAUUAUGUCCCUGGCACUGAUGGGUUUCAGGUCUUAACGAAGAAGAGGAGAUACACCAGAAAGUCAGCAAUCAAAACGGAGCAGGGUGCAUGCUUUUGAGAGGACAUCGCCAGGGCACUACGAAGGCAAGACACAAUGCUGAGGAAAGGGUGCAUCAGGAGGCCUGAGGAUGAAGCAUGAGUGUGAUUUGAACAUCUUUGUGCAUGAGGAGGAAGUUUUCAGAUUACCAAGAAGGCACGAGGAGAGCUGAGCUUUCUGCUGCAGCAUGGGAAGCCCAAGGAAGCAGACGUUGCUCCAAGACUACAGCAGAGGGGCUGGCUCUGAUGAGAUGCGGUCGACGCUGCCUAAUGACCCCUACAUUCCCUGGGUUAGAGACUAAGAGAAAGGGACACAGAUGAAGGGGAAGAUUCAGAAUUCGAGGAUUUGGGGUCUUCCAGUAGGAGGCUCUUCCCAUGGUUGGUAGAAAGCAUCUGGAGAUAAACACAUGGGAAUUACGGCUCUGAGCAGUGCAUGAGGGCUCAGGAGUGGGGAGGUGAUGCCCUGCACUAAUAGCCCAGAGAACAGGAGAGCAAGGUGGGACGCAGGAGGCCUGGAGGCUAACAAUGGAGGAAGGCUACAUAGGCAGAUAAAUACCUUUCGUGAAGAAAAACUGAAGCAAAGUUUAGGAAGGAGCCAGUAAGAAAACACGACCUACGCAAGCCUGGCCAACAAAGGAGGGCAUGAAGGGCUCCAGAGGAGAGAGGCACAAAGGUCCCGAGCAGAGCUGGACGUAUCAGCUUCGGCGGUUCCACUGAGAUAGGAGGGAAAAAGGGAAGGACAGAUGGGGAGGGAUAGAUAAGUGUGGGUGGCAGGGGAGGAAAUGGAGAGAGUUCUCAAUUGAUUGCCUCAAUUUUCACAGUGAAGUAGGAGGCAAGGGGAUCUGUAGAGUGGUGUGAGGAGGUAGUGGAGCUUCUUCAGAGCAGGCUGAGUGGAGUCAGCACAAAGAUUGGUGUGGGGUCCUGAGCAUGCGGCUGGGUUGAGAAGAUGUAUAUCUGCUGUGUCCCAUGCUCACAUAACUGUGAUAUUUUCUCCCAGGGCUCUUUGACAAGUCCAGGCAGGGCGGCAGGAAAUUGAAUUGUCAGACUGAACUAAGGCUGGGUUUUUGCAGGCCGGAUGUCAUGGAGGUUUAAGAGGGUUGAGGAACUGUUGGGUACUGCGUAUUGAGAAGUGGUGGGCUGUAGGAUGAAGGAUGGAGAGAGGGAGUCUCGGUCAAGACAGUUUGCUAGACCAGAUCAAACACAAGAGCCCAAGACAUCGACGUCUGACUUAGAGGGUGCUAGGGGAUAAAAGGAAUGACCAGCUGAAAGCAAGCGGUUGACUCACAGUGGGUUGUUGGGAUUUCAGCUGGUGGAGAUCUACCUUCUUGGAGAACUUUGAAACCUGUCAUCUGGAAGCUAACCCCACCUCUCUAUAGAAGCCUUUCUUACUGUUCUCUUCCCACCUGAAACAUCUCUCACGGUCUCUGGGCAUCUUAGCAGAUAGCUAGUUCAAAGAACAUUAAAAUGUGACCUCGUGGCAAGAGUCCUGGGAUUGAACUGUAUCUCUAACAUGCCUAAGUCCUCCGGCCCUUGCUACAAUGUGAACCACCGAGUAGUGGCUUUCUUGACCAGAUAGAUUGGUCUAUCCAGGUGACUCGUGUACAGGGCUGAAUAGUCGAUUACCCAUACAGGGCCGAAUAGUCGAUUACCCAUCCCUGUGUUUAUGUGAUUCCUUUGUCUGUUUCCAUCUUUUCAUGGGGUGAGGAAUGGGUAGAGCAAAGCAAUCUUUGCUUCAUUAAUCUUCCUGAGCCUGUUUUUAUUCCAAUCAUCUCAAAAACCAGGCUUGAGAGUAGCAGGUCCAAGCAGCUUGUCAUGGGAUGGAGGCAAAUAGGCUGAGAGGGGAAGAAUGGGCCUUUGAAAACCUCAACUGUGCUCUCUGACUGAGGUCGGCAGAGACAGGCCAAAUCAACAAGCAUGACACAAAGGGCAAAUUUGCAAUUAAAAGAAGAAUGGGGAAUUAUAAAGAUGGAUGGGCCAUGACAGGCAUCCCCAAGCCUGCAUGGCCUUGGCCUCUGAUGCCAGAAAUUAAUGCUCUACUCUUUAGCACUCGUCACCUUUGGCUCCGAACAGAGAGGCAAAUGCAUUAAAAUCACAACAAUUAGAACACUUACUUAGCUUGGAAGGCAUUGUUGGUUCCCCUGUGGUCGAGGUCAUGACACAGGCAUCCCACAAUCACCGCUAAAAUUUCCACCUCGGUCAGAAUCUCUUGAAACCCAGCAGUCUGGGAAGAAGGGGACAAUGGCAAGUCAGUGCCAGGGGCAGAAAGGCGGAGCAGCAAUCGGCUGGUCUCAUGCCCACAUCACUUAAGGCAAUGAUUAGCUGUCACCCUCUCAGAUGACAGGCAUUGAGUGGUCAGUUGCUCAGCCCAAGGUCCCCACCGUGAGGGAUUAGCUUGCUGUUGUAUCAGGACAGAGUGUCAGCCUGUUUCAUUCCCUUUUUUAGAGAGAAUUUCGGUGUUCACACCGAUAGUCUGGGAAAGGCCUCGAGUGAAAUGUGUUUUGACAUUCCACACAGGAGGAUAAGCGUUUCGUUUAGAAGUAGGAAGGUAUGAAGGGACUUUCAAAACCGAAAACUCCCAUCCCCAGCGACUACUCAAAUGAGGGCCAGCAAACAGAACUAAAUCUUGCUCUAUAAUAAAUGGAGGAAUAGAGAAGUACUCACAUCUCUGUGUGAUGAUUUAGCUUAUAAAUCCCUUAAUACACAUUGGGCUGAUGGACAGAUUCAAAUGCGUACAGGUAAGUCCUGGAAACUGAGGGUUAGACAACCCAGGGCUGAGGUUCAAGGGGAGGGUACACUAUUCGGAAGCCAUUGUUUCUGAUCAUGGUAGCCCUGUGAACUACGUGGCUGGGGUGUAAUUCCUCCUGGAAGCGGUUGGACAUCGUUACAGGCAGGCAGGAACACAGAACCAGUUUUCCAGCUCCAGCUCCAGUUGGCCCUUUCAUUAGUUUGGAGGAGGAAACACACCUUUGGGAGAAAGAUCUGUGAGCCUUCUCCAUCUGAAGCGCUUGCUGCCCCUCCCCCUCACACUGUAAAUCUCCUGUUCCACUCUAUCAGAGGGUAGGAGGCGGGAGUUCGGUUGAAAUGACUUUCCAUAUAUGUUUCUUUUCCACAACUCUCAGAUCACAGGCUAAUACCUGUAAGAGUUUUAGGGCAGUGAAAACUUUUUUUUUAAAUUAGUUGUGGUCUUAAUACAGAAAUAACUGAACGAUGGAUUGCCGCAUUGGCAGUGCCAUUUCUCAAAACCGACUUGGUUCCCUGACUAGGUUUGGAGACAUGCAUGACACUGCUUAUACAACUGGAAAUGUUAACAGAGCUAUGAAGCAGUCCUCGCCAAAGCUCACGUGCACCCUUCACUUUAAAACUCGCUGGACAUUUGCUUUUGUUCAUUUUAUUAUUCGUAAUACUUUCCUGAAGCCAUACUAAGAAGCUUAAAGCCAAAAGUCUACAGUCUCCCUCACCGUUCAUAUUUCCUGAUAUGUAGAUUUUUCUGAUUUGUAAAGGCAACCAGAUUCACUUGUUUAAGUAACUUGGUGACAUCACUCCCAUAUCGCUACACAAUAUACAUGCGUCUUAGCACUUGAGUAUUUAUCAAAUAUUUACAACGCAUUCCUAUGCUGCUAGGAAUUCUAAGAAUUUUCGUCCCCAGCUCCGAAAAAAAGAAAAAAAAAAUUUCAACUGCUUAACUUACUUUUUUUUUUUUUACCAGUCUUAUGAGGUGAUAGCUAUUAUUAUCCUCAGUUGCGAAUGAGGAAACUGAGUCACGGAGAGGCAUCAUCUUGUGCCUAAGGCUCACAGCUGAUGCAGGGCAUUGGGGAGCCUCUUCCUAGCAUCCCUCCCAGAGUGCCUUGAAGCAUCGAUGGUAUGGUGGUGGAUGAGAGGUGGAUGGUCCCUGCACCUCCCUUCCAUUCCCAAUGUGAUCCAUGCCCAGAGCUUUUGUCAUGGUCACCCUAUAAGUACUAUCCACUGCCCAAGUGACUGAUGCCCCGAAACUGUUUCUUUCUAAUUUUUAAAAUAUUUUUCUUUUAUUGGAUAUUUUCUUUAUUUACAUUUCGAAUGCUAUCCUCUUCCCCAGUUUCUCCUCCAGAAACAUGCCAUCUCCCCCUGCUUCUAAGAGGGUGCUCCCCCAUCUACCUACCUACUCCCUCCCACUUCCCCGUCCUGACAUUCCCCUACACUGGGGCAUCGAGCCUUCAUAGGACCAAGGGGCUCUUCUCCGAUUGAUGCCCAAUCCGCUUAUUUCCUGGAGUUCUUAUUUCUUUGAACCAGCUAUGCCUUCCCACAUUCUAUAUGACUUUGUAAAGUCUAUUAAGUAAUUUUGAAGGGAAUCAAAAGCCUCACACUUAUGUGGUCCUUGGUGGGGGAUGGUCAGGUCUGGUUUGUCCCCUCCCUGGGGGAUGGCCCUAUCUCUGGCCUCCUAUGGUUUUCCUUGAUGUCUGCCUCAUUUGGCAGGUCUUCAUAAGGAAGCAGUGUCCAUUUCUUAGGGAGCCACUUGUUCUGAGGCUCUGCGUGGCUGGAACGGGGAGGGGCGCUUAUUCUAUCUUCCCACUCCACUGGUAGGUUGCCUAACAGUUCUAGGGGUAAACAAUUCCUCUCAGGGCUCUAAGAGACUCACUACUUAUGACGUUGCUUUUGGGAAGAUCACGCCCGUCUUCUGCCUGAUAUUUUCAGUGUCAGGCUGCUUGCUUCCGAAUGUCCUCCCUAUCCCCAGUGCUUAGCACUUCCAGGAAGCUGUGCUUGGCUCGGGAGUUCCUCCUCCUCCUGUUGACACUGUAAAUCUAAUCUGCAGGCUCUGUUUCUCCAGCACAUGCUCCCUGGGUCUUUCUGUUACUGAUUUUCUUCAGUACAUUUACUUAUUUAACCUUUACACGUGUGUGCAUGUAUGGACGUCCCGUGGGGUGAACAUGGAGGCCACUUCCGGGAGUCUGGACGCAGUAGCUUGAAUUCAAGUGGCCAGACUUGGGCAGCCUUUCCUGGCUGAGCUGUCUCACCGGUGCUUUUUCUACCUUUCGGAGGAAGUUGAUAAGAUUCCUGAUAUUUUCUUUUGCUCCUUGGAAUUGCCCAUGUCCUCCGAGCCCGCUCCUUUCUUUGUGUCCUCUCAGAAGUCCACACUUAGAAUGAAGCGGUCUGAAGCUCAUCCUAUACCAGGGUGGGUGCAUGGUGUCUGCCAGAUGCCAGGCCUGGCUAGAGGGUGACCAAAUGUCUGGCCUUUUGGUGGAGACUCCCAAACACUAGACCUAAGCUCAUGUCUCUGGACUCUCCAACCUGUUGCCUAGAAUGGUGUAAACACUGAAACAAAAUCAGGAGCUGUGACUUUGCACCGUGAGGACACUGGUGUUCACGCGUUUCCUCUCUCCCCAUGUAUCUUGCCCCUUUUGCUGAUGUCCUCAAAGAUAGUGCUUCAUUUUCUCUAGCAAAUACUCUGGUUCCUGUAUAAGUUAGGGUAGGAACAAAUCUUCUGCAGGAUAGAUGAGAGAGGGGGACUUGGGGACUCACCAUUUGAUUCUUUUUUUUUCCCUCCAUCUUUAUUAACUUGUGUAUUUCUUAUUUACAUUUCAAUUGUUAUUCCCUUUCCCGUGUUUCCGGGCCAACAUCCCCCUAACCCCUACCCCUCCCCUUCUCUGUCGGUGUUCCCCUCCCCAUCCUCCCCCCAACAAUCACGUUCACUUGGGGUUCAGUCUUGGCAGGACCAAGGGCUUCCCCUUCCACUGGUGCUCUUACUAGGCUAUUCAUUGCUACCUAUGCAGAUGAUUCUUUAACUCACUGUAACCUACUUUGUGGCCUCUGAAGUCUUUAGUUGCUGAGCCUUGGUAGGUCAGGAAAAACUAUUCUCAUGGAUGUGCCUUCUCCCACCUCUAUCCUGAAGGUAGAAGCUGGGUCUUGUUCUUUGCUGCUGUGUUAUAAACUAUCAUUCUCUCUCUCUCUCUCUCUCUCUCUCUCUCUCUCUCUCUCUCUCUGUGUGUGUCUGUCUCUCUCUCUGUGUCUGUCUCUCUGUGUCUCUGUCUGUCUGUCUGUCUCUCUCUCUCUCUCUCUCUGUGUGUUCUCUGCCUUUGUUGCUGGGGGAUUUUGCACAGUAACCUUUUAUUUUCCCCUCCUUUUGAAAUUUAUCACGUCUCUAAAAUGCUUCAUCAUCACGAAUACUUUUGAGAACCUAAUGAGAUGUACAAACUCUCUUUCUAUAAAAAUCUAAUAAUCUCAUAUCACUCCAAGGCUAUUGAGCUCAUCUGUGGACCCUUAGACUGAAGAAGCCUUGAGGCUGAGCAGACACAUGAUCACACAAAGCAUGUUUACCUCUUCCGACUGUGAUACCUGAGUUACUGAAGCAGCACCGUGGGCUUGACUGUGAUUUAAAGCUGCCUGGUAAAUGGUUUCUGAGAAUCAUCAGGCCUGAAAAGUGUCCACCUGCCACUAAGUUUCUAUUUGCUCCUCCCCCCUCAUCCAUCUUCCUUCAGGCCCAUCCAUUCAGACCUCCAUCUUCCCAGAGUGAGCAGAAAGUCAGCUGCCCGCUGAAGAUAAUAUACUUUCGAAAAGAAAACAGUGUGUGUGGGGGGUGUUGACGUAUUUAUUUCCUGACUCUAGCUUAUUGUUUUAUUUUUCAAAUAAAAUUAUGUCUUUCCUCAA